CUUCUAGAUCUGCAGAGGACUUGCCUUUUUCCUCUGGCGUCUUCUUACCGCCCCCACCUCUCCCCGUCCCUACCUUCCCCUUUCUGAAUGGCACCAUGUACCAUCCUUGGGAGAAUUGAAAAGAUAGUCAAGCAAGUCACUUCGUGUCUUUGGGGCUCAGAUUGGAAACCUUGAUUGCAAAAGGGAAUGCAUGGGCCUCCUGCACCAUCUGAAGGACAGAAAACCCCCUCAGCUUUGCCAGAUGUGGCUCCUUCUUGAUGGUUCCUUGGGGAGCCUUCCUGACUACUUUACGACUUGAGGAAAUCUACUGGCAGCUGCCUUCUUUCACCAUUUAUUCCAGAUAAAGACAUUGCUAUUCAGUACAAUUGGUCAAAGUGUGUUUACAUUAUAAGGAGUUUGCAAAGGAAUUAGGAAAAUGGACAUCUGUGAUUGGUUUUGGAUGGUUGAGGGGAGAAGUGAAAAUGUGAUUAAUAUUUUGAAAAUAAAUUUACAUUUUGCUUCAUUAAAUGCUCUAUUUGCUACUAGGCGGCAGAAAAAAUAAUAUUGUGUAAAUGUGGUCUAGAUUCCCUUCCCAUUGCAUUUCCAUCUCAUGCAGCAUACCUUAUCCUGAUCUAAAUAGGUAUCCUUAGGAAUUCUCUAACAGAACCCUAUUACUCCCACAAAGAUGGUUUUUUGAAUGUGAGACUCACACCCUUGGAAAUAACUCUUUACCCUGGGGUCAAGAACUUGAUUUUUAUUUUCUGAAUCUAAAUAAAAAACAGCCACUUAUUGGACUCAUUCUUACUUAGACCUCUGCCUCUGUUAUGGGAAACAAACUAUACAUGUCCUUGUACAUCGACUAAGGUGUCUGUGACCACAUAUGAAAUCUUGACAUUCUUCUUCCAGGCUCUAUAUUUACAAGCUUUUCAAAAUUUCUUCUGAAAUAAGUAAGAGUCAUCAUAUUUUUAAUAUUUUCUAGGGAAUAAAAAACUCCUGCAGCAUUUUUUGAUAUCUAAAUCCAACUGUUUAUGAGUAUUUCCUGGUAAGGAAUUACCUCCUUAAAGAUAAAGCUAUAAUGGUCAUUU